GGCGAGAUGGCAGAAUCGUUAGCACGCCGGGCGAAAUGCUUAGCGGUAUUUCGUCUGUCUCUACGUUCUCAGUUCAAAUUCCGCCGAGGUCGACUUUGCCUUUCAUCCUUACGGGGUCGAUAAACUGAGUACAAGUUGCGUUCUGGGGUGGAGUUAAUCGACUGGUCCCCUCCCCCAAAAUGUCGGGCCUUAUACCUAGAGUAGAAAAG